GGAGGGUGCAAGCGUUGUUCGGAAUUACUGGGCGUAAAGGGCGCGUAGGCGGUUUGAUAAGUCAGAUGUGAAAGCCCACGGCUUAACUGUGGAAGUGCAUUUGAAACUGUCAGACUUGAGUACCAGAGGGGAAAGUGGAAUUCCCGGUGUAGAGGUGAAAUUCGUAGAUAUCGGGAGGAAUACCGGUGGCGAAGGCGACUUUCUGGCUGGAUACUGACGCUGAGGCGCGAGAGCGUGGGGAGCAAACAGGAUUAGAUACCCUGGUAGUCCACGCUGUAAACGAUGUCAACUAGAUGUAGGGGGUGUUGAUCCCUUCUGUGUCGCAGCUAACGCAUUAAGUUGACCGCCUGGGGAGUACGGUCGCAAGAUUA
rnacentral:rRNA from 1 species